GCGAUUCCCUGAGUAGCGGCGAGCGAAAAGGGAACAGCCCAGCGCAUAAUCUCCCGGGUUACCAAGCCUGCGGCGAAAUGUUGCGUUAAAGGAAAGGUCGUUAAUGCCUCGCUCACCCGUUUGAUUGUGCCUAACAGCGUCUUGAAUUAUUCGCGCUUGUCAAGCACCUUUGUAUCUCUUACGGGUUACAAAAGCUCGACACACGGUUCCAUGGAGGGUGCAAGUCCCGUCUGGCCGCGGUUGAGUGGGCGAUGGCUAGACCUCUUUUCCUGGAGAGUCGCGUUGCUUGAACUUGCAGCGCUAAGCAGGAGGUAAACUCCUCCUAAGGCUAAAUAUGUCCACAGAACCGAUAGCUAACAAGUACCGCGAGGGAAAGUUGAAAAGUACUCUGGAGAGAGGGUGCAAAGACCGUGAAACCAUCCAGGGCAAAAGCCAAUGUCGAGUAUCCUAGUUGCGCUGGGACCGUCCCUCGGGAUGAUACUACGCUCGAGUAUCGCCUCGGGCUCAUUCUAUUCGUUUAGAGUGCUCGAGACGUACUCGUCAUGUGCGUAGUUUGAGCGUCCACUAACAGCCCGCCGCAACUCUUACGAGGUCUCUCGCGGUUGCCGCGUGGCGGGAAGCUCGCGUUUGUGUACGGAGUGCGUCGUAACGGGGUCGUGUCGUGUGGAGUCCAUCCCAGUAGCUUUUGCGAAGAGAUGCCCGCUGACGCGUGGUACAAACAAACCCCUAUGGCGUAGUUCGGAGCGUAGAGAACCGUCACACACUGGCAGUCAAUGCGUGAAUGAUCCUUCGGUGAGAAGUUGGUUCGGACAAGUCCACGCUUGCGUGGCAACGGCGGUAUCAUGCCUAGGUGACAUUGGUCACGUCUCGAAACACGGGCCAAGGAGCAUAGCGUAAAGGCAAGUCGCAGGGUUUCACUAAACCCGGUGGCGAGUGAAAGCGAGUGACGUACCAUUAGUUUUGUGCGUAGACGCGUUGGUGAGAGUUCCCUUCACGGGAUGUCUCGAGCCGUGUGUUGCUUUGUACACAGCUGAUCCUUAAGCUCUUUUGAGCGACAAGGCGCAAGCUGCAAGCUUACUCAAUGUCGCAAUCCCGCACGGCCUCACGGCUGUGUACUUGCGUGACAGAGGAAGCAUUGUCUAGACUUUCCGCUAUGACCCGAAAGAUAGUGAACUAUGCUUGACGAAGACGAAGUCCUAGGAAACUAUGAUGGAAGUCUGUAGCCGUUGUGACGUGCAAAUCCAUGGCGUCAGUUGAGUAUAGGGGCGAAAGACCAAUCGAACUAUCUAGUAGCUGGUUCCAUUCGAAGUUUCUCUCAGGAUAGCUUGAGCGACAAUGACGCUAACAAGUUCGAUCUUAUGAGUAUAUCACACACUAAGAACGCCCACGUCUGCAGUUGUUGAGAGCACAUAUAGCCGUGAGCUCGUACACUCACUCUUUCCAGGCAAUGCGGGUUGCGUGUCACACACGUUUUUCCUUACGCAGUUACGUCUGGUAAAGAGAAUGAGUAGAGUUGGCUCGUUGUUCUUUGUAACAACAGCAGCGGGGCGUUCUACGCCUCGCACUAUUAUCAAACUUUAAAUGGGCGAGGAACUCGGCAUUAUCUUAAUUGCUUGAUGCCGAGGCGUACACGGUACAGUGUUGUCAAAUACUCUGUUUCGGAUGAGAAUGCGUGCGCUUUAAGUGGGUCCUUUCUGGUAAGCAGAACUGAUAAUGAGGGAUGAACCUAACGCAUGUGCUAAGGGGUCAAAAAGACAGCUAUUUCUCGAAACCAUUGGAAAGGUGUUGCUUGCUAAAGACAGCAGGACGGUGGUCAUGGAAGUUGACAUCCGCUAAGGAGUGUGUAACAACUCAUCCUGCCGAAGCGAGUAACCCUGAAAAUGGAUGACUCUAUAGCUCUCUCCCGAUGCACAGCCGUCAAUAGCACGAGUGACAUUUCUUGUCUCAACGCUUUGACGAGUAGAAUGGUGUGCUGGUGUGCGUCGAAGACCUUUGCGUGAGCAUGGUCGGAGCCGCCAGUAGUACAGAUCUUGGUGGUAGUAGCAAGUACUCUGGUGAAUAACCUUGAGCUGUGAGGCUGACAAGGGUUCCGUGUCAACAGCGUUUGAACACGGGUAAGCCGAUCCUAAGCUCCCUUUAUCUCAUAAAGGUAAUUGCGUAUGCCCGGAGAACUACUCUCAACCGCACCGAGUUUGUGUGUCGUGGUCAGCGUCGUCGUCUUGCUAAGAACAUGUGUUUUUGUGUGUGGUGGCCCCCGCUCUCACGCUGUCACUGAAAGUGUUAUGCACCCGGUCGAACGUAGCUCUUGAAAGAGUGCUAUCGCAUACGCACGAGUAAGAGAUCACGCUGAGAAACGCCGCCAUCGCGCACAACACACGAGAUGACAAACUGUCCCGCACGCAAGACACCUCGCGCGUGCGUGUUGUUUACAGUAUAAUCUGGCGUCGCUUGGCGAAAGGGGAAUCUGAACUCAGUUCAUAUGCCUCUCCUGGCACCCUGAGACGGUUCACCGUAUCACGAUCCUAGCAAUAGAUGCCAGGCCAGUCGAUGUCAUAAGUAGCUCGACAGGGAGAUUUCUUCUCUCUUUGAUAAGACGGUAGUUCCUGAAAGCACCUCGCGUGGCGGAAGGACGAUGUCUUGUAUAGCAGAGUAGUCCUCUUUCUAGACUAGCUCGACGCUGCUUGUGACCCGUGAAAAGGUGGUCGAGGGGAAGGAAAUGUACGCUAGAGCACACACACACCCUUGGGUUGCGUGUCUCAUGCAGUACUUUCGCACUUCACACGAGUGUUUGCCACGGAGUGUUCGUACCCAUUUCCGCAUCCGUCUC
rnacentral:rRNA from 1 species